rnacentral:lncRNA from 1 species
CCGCUCCCCCGCGCCCCGCCCGCGCCUGGCCCGCUCGCCGGCGCCGGGAGAGACCUCGUAACGGAACUGGGACGCCAGCGCUGCAUUGUGGGAGCUUUUAAAGCGGCGGGGAGCUCGGCGCGACCCUCGGGCCCACCGGGCCACGCUCGCCCGGCCCGCGACGCCCCCCCGCUGUCGCCUGGCCCGCGACGCACCGAGGCCUGAGGACCCGAAAGCCGGGCGCGGGGAGAUGACCGGUGGCUCGUGACGGUCCCACGGGCAAAAUCUUCCAUCGCCCGGGGCUGAGACUUGUCAAACUGCCCUCUACGGUCACCCGGAAAGUAGGAGGCUUUUUCUGCAGAGGGAAAAAAAUCAAAAAGAGCCGUUCCAUCCCCCCUCCAAGGACUGGGUUUGAAUUGCUUUUCAUCUGCAGUGGCUGUGAUUCAGCGUCCCUCUUAGCAGCAGGCACUGACAGAGGCAGGAGAGGAAAAAAGAAAGAAAGAAAGAGAAAACACAGCAAAUGAAUCAAACGGACGUAGCAGGCAAGAGUGUGGUUAUCGUUGGACCAGGAUUCAGGAUCUGACCGAGUAGCUGACUCUUAAUCCAGUUUGUGUUGAUCACCAGGAGGAUCUGGACCUCAGUGUUAUCACAUCUAAAGGUGAUAUGCCAACUCCACCUUUGCCUUCCACCAUGUUUGGAAGCUCCCUGAGGCCUCACCAGGAGCAGAUGCUCGUCCCAUGCUUCCUAUAAGCCUGCAGAACUGGAAAAGAAAGCUGGAUAAAGUAUUUAUAGAAGAUAGAGGACCUGUGGUGGCUCAUGCCUGUAAUCCAAGGUGGAAGGAUUGCUUGAGGCCAGAAGUUCAAGACCAGUCCAAGCAACAUAGCAAGGCCCCAUCUCUACAAAAAAAUGAAAAUAAAAUUAGCCGAGCGUGAUGGCUCAUGC